UUGGGAGGUAAAUUUUUCCUAAGGCUAAAUAUUGGCGAGAGACCGAUAGCGAACAAGUACCGUGAGGGAAAGAUGAAAAGAACUUUGAAAAGAGAGUUAAACAGUACGUGAAAUUGUUGAAAGGGAAAAGAUUGAAGUCAGUCAUACCAACGGGAAAUCAACCUUUUGAGCUUGGUUUCGUGGGUUUUGAAGAGUUUCAAAGCCUUCGGAUUCGCGUGAUUGGGAUCUCUGGGGGUACUUUUUCGUACGGUUAGUCAACAUCGGUUUUGAAUGUCAUAAA
rnacentral:rRNA from 1 species